CCUACGGGUGGCAGCAGUGAGGAAUAUUGGUCAAUGGACGAGAGUCUGAACCAGCCAAGUAGCGUGAAGGAUGACUGCCCUAUGGGUUGUAAACUUCUUUUAUAUGGGAAUAAAACGUUCCACGUGUGGGAUUUUGUAUGUACCAUAUGAAUAAGGAUCGGCUAACUCCGUGCCAGCAGCCGCGGUAAUACGGAGGAUCCGAGCGUUAUCCGGAUUUAUUGGGUUUAAAGGGAGCGUAGGUGGAUUGUUAAGUCAGUUGUGAAAGUUUGCGGCUCAACCGUAAAAUUGCAGUUGAAACUGGCAGUCUUGAGUAAAGUAGAGGUGGGCGGAAUUCGUGGUGUAGCGGUGAAAUGCUUAGAUAUCACGAAGAACUCCGAUUGCGAAGGCAGUUCACUGGACUGCAACUGACACUGAGGCUCGAAAGUGUGGGUAUCAAACAGGAUUAGAUACCCCUGUAGUC
rnacentral:rRNA from 1 species